CCUACGGGUGGCAGCAGUGGGGAAUAUUGGGCAAUGGGCGCAAGCCUGACCCAGCAACGCCGCGUGAAGGAAGAAGGCUUUCGGGUUGUAAACUUCUUUUAAGAGGGAAGAGCAGAAGACGGUACCUCUUGAAUAAGCCACGGCUAACUACGUGCCAGCAGCCGCGGUAAUACGUAGGGGGCAAGCGUUGUCCGGAUUAACUGGGUGUAAAGGGCGUGUAGCCGGGCUGACAAGUCAGAUGUGAAAGCCCGUGGCUCAACCACGGAACUGCAUUUGAAACUGUCGGUCUUGAGUAUCGGAGAGGCAGGCGGAAUUCCUAGUGUAGCGGUGAAAUGCGUAGAUAUUAGGAGGAACACCAGUGGCGAAGGCAGUCUGCUGGACAGCAACUGACGCUGAGGCGCGAAAGCGUGGGGAGCAAACAGGAUUAGAUACCCCAGUAGUC
rnacentral:rRNA from 1 species